GGGCCAGGCACAGUGGCUCACGUCUGUAAUCCCAGCACUUUGGGAGGCCGAGGUGGGCGGAUCACAAGGUCAAGAGAUCGAGACCAUCCUGGUCAACAUGGUGAAACCCC
rnacentral:lncRNA from 1 species